AUUGAACGCUGGCGGCAGGCCUAACACAUGCACGUCGAACGAGUGGCGGACGGGUGAGUAAUGUCUGGGAAACUGCCUGAUGGAGGGGGAUAACUACUGGAAACGGUAGCUAAUACCGCAUACCAUCAGAUGUGCCCAGAUGGGAUUAGCUAGUUGGUGGGGGAACGGCGCACCAAGGCGACGAUCCCUAGCUGGUCUGAGCGGAUGACCGUCCAAAGUGGAGCUGAGACACGGUCUAGGCUCCUACGGGAGGCAGCAGUGGGGAAGAUUGCACAAUGGGCGCAAGCCUGAUGCAGCCAUGCCGGGUGUAUGAAGAAGGCCUUGGGGUUGUAAAGUACUUUCAGCGGGGAGGCGUUACCCGCAGAAGAAGCACCGGCUAACUCCGUGCCAGCAGACGCGGUAAUUC
rnacentral:rRNA from 1 species